rnacentral:lncRNA from 10 species
AGGAACUCAUGAGCACAGUGCUUGACGGCACCCGCAGUUGUGGGCAGGGAGUGAACUGCACACAAUCCCGACCUCUUCAUGGUGGGUUUGUUUUUGCAAUCCUGUGGCAAAGCUGCACUGGAGCUCUCGAGCAGGCGUGCACUGGACUCCCUAGCAGAUGCGUGAGGAUGCUGCUGUUGCUGGGGGCCAGGGUCCUCAGGGUGGAGAUGGGGGGUGGGGGAGAACCGUGCAAGGUGGGACGGAAUCCAGGCACGGUUCUGUGCUGUUUCAGAUCUGUACACACAUAUUACAUAUGUACGUGUGCAACUGCACGCAGCAUGCCUGUCCUCCCUAGCCUGUCCACAGAAAGGGCCUAAAGCUCAGGCACCCCGUGGCAUCGAGCACACCUCGUGUCUAGAUCCCGGUCUCUAACGCUGUUCCCCACCAAAGGGAGCCAAGACCCACAGAGCAAUGGCCGAGGCCAGAGGCCCAAGAGGACGCCCUGCCAUGCCUGGUCAUGAGGAGGUGCUCGAAGGAGAGGCACGGCACACAGGCAGAGCAUGGCAGGGUUCCCGCCAGCAAAUCUCGUACACUUUGAACACCAGGAUAAUUAAAGACAGGAGUGACUCACAGACCACUGAAGUCGGGAGGCAAUCCACAUGUGGCCAGCGAUAAAAGAGAACAAACGAGCGUGGAUAACCAGUGAAUACCUGAGACACACAGGUGGAUGGAUGGGGGAGGGAGCCCAUGUCUGUGGGAUGCUGGGGCCAGGAAGCCUGCUCUCCAGCCCUCACCAUCUGGCCUCUGUGGGAGUCAGGAAGUGUCUGCACAGAUGUUCGCCAGACGCAAUGGGAAAACCAGGAGGCAUCAGGUGGAGAGGCAGCCCCAGGGCACCUGGGCAACAGCCACAAGCUCUCAAAGAGCACAGGAAGAAAUCAUGUCUUUAUGCACACGUGUGUGCAUGUGUGGUAUGUAUGCAUGGUGUGUGCACGUGUGCAUUGUGUGCAUGAUUGCAUUGUGUGGUGUGUAUGCAUGGUGUGUGCACGUGUGCAUUGUGUGUGCACGAUUGCAUUGUGUGGUGUGUAUGCAUGGUGUGUGCACCUGUGCAUUGUGUGUGUGCAUGCGUGGUGGG